GGUAAGCUGUAGCUCAGCGGCAGAACAUCUGCUUGGCAUGCAGAAGGCCCCAGGUUAGAUCUCUGGCAGCAUCU